AUGUCUCUUAUUAUGCUGAUCUCGUGAGAAAUUUGGAACAAGAGGAAUGCACAAGUAUUCCGUAACACCGCGGUGCCGGUUGGGGUUCUUGUUGCUAGAAUCAAAGAUGUUUCAAAGCUAUGGUGUCUUGCAGGGGCCAAGUAUUUGAGUAAUGUAGUGCCGCGAGAGUAA
rnacentral:rRNA from 1 species